UUACGGCCGUAUCACAUUGCAACAUCGGUUCCCGUACGAUCACCAAAGUUAAGCAACAUUGAGCCUGGUCAUUGCCUAGAUAAGCGAUCGCUUGGGAAUAACAGGUGCCGCAAG